rnacentral:lncRNA from 1 species
UCGAGAUUCUGUUGCACUAUUAACUAUGAGCUUUUCAUAGGCUAAAUUCCUUCCUUACUUUUCAAUACAAGUAGGAAGCACGCAUUUCAUUUCUCUUUAAAAAGUUAAUUAUUUUGCUAUUGACAGUCAAGGAUUAAGAACAUUAGUAUAUAUGUUUGAUGUGACGGAAAAGGAAACGAUAAAUACUAUCAAUUUGCUAUUUUAAUCAAUUCCAAGAGAAUAAAUUAUUUUAUCAAAAAAUAACACUCAUUCCAUCUCAUCGAUCACCGAUUUUUUUCUCCGUCAACAUAUUAUAAAUCAUUUAUAAAUUCUUCACCAGUGACUUUACUUGAUAGAAGAUAUUCCUUGAUAUGAAGCAAUCUACAUUGAAGAUUCAAUUAAUAGAACUGGCUUCUACAUUAUUUGAUUAUUAAGUAUAUCUAAAUCUAUUAGAUUGAUAACUUUUAUAUUACAAUGUGUAAGACCAACUUCUGAUAUUCCUAAUCCUUCUCCUAUGUGAUUCUCCCUUUCAAGUAAUAUAUACUGUAAUUACAUGAUACAAGUUUCAGUAAAAAAGUGUGAAUGUGGUAAAUCACUAAAUUUGUAUUUCGAAAAAAUUAAAACAAUAUAAUAAAUACAUGCGAGA